rnacentral:rRNA from 1 species
UCUAAGUAUAAGCAAUUAUACGGCGAAACUGCGAAUGGCUCAUUAAAUCAGUUAUCGUUUAUUUGAUAGUACCUUAUUACUUGGAUAACCGUGGUAAUUCUAGAGCUAAUACAUGCUAAAAAUCCCGACUUACGGAGGGAUGUAUUUAUUAGAUUAAAAACCAAUGCCCCUCGGGGCUUUUAGGUGAUUCAUAAUAACUUCUCGAAUCGCAUGGCCUUGCGCCGGCGAUGGUUCAUUCAAAUUUCUGCCCUAUCAACUUUCGAUGGCAGGGUCUUGGCCUGCCAUGGUUACAACGGGUAACGGAGGGUUAGGGCUCGACCCCGGAGAAGGAGCCUGAGAAACGGCUACUACAUCCAAGGAAGGCAGCAGGCGCGCAAAUUACCCAAUCCCGACACGGGGAGGUAGUGACAAUAAAUACUGAUACAGGGCUCUUUCGGGUCUUGUAAUUGGAAUGAGUACAAUUUAAAUCCCUUAACGAGGAACAAUUGGAGGGCAAGUCUGGUGCCAGCAGCCGCGGUAAUUCCAGCUCCAAUAGCGUAUAUUAAAGUUGUUGCAGUUAAAAAGCUCGUAGUUGAACCUUGGGCCUGGCUGGCCGGUCCGCCUCACCGCGUGCACUGGUUCGGCCGGGCCUUUCCCUCUGGGGAGCCCUAUGCCCUUCACUGGGUGUAGUGGGGAACCAGGACUUUUACUGUGAAAAAAUUAGAGUGUUCAAAGCAGGCGUAUGCUCGAAUACAUCAGCAUGGAAUAAUAGAAUAGGACGCGUGGUUCUAUUUUGUUGGUUUCUAGGACCGCCGUAAUGAUUAAUAGGGACAGUCGGGGGCAUCAGUAUUCAAUUGUCAGAGGUGAAAUUCUUGGAUUUAUUGAAGACUAACUACUGCGAAAGCAUUUGCCAAGGAUGUUUUCAUUAAUCAGGAACGAAAGUUAGGGGAU